AAGACACUAGUAAAAUUUAAUUAUGCGGUCUUGUCAGGGCCAGGUUGUGAGCUAAGACCUCACGUGUUUUA
rnacentral:tRNA from 1 species